rnacentral:rRNA from 1 species
GAUGAACGCUGGCGGCGUGCCUAACACAUGCAAGUCGAGCGAUUCUCUUCGGAGAAGAGCGGCGGACGGGUGAGUAACGCGUGGGUAACCUGCCCUGUACACACGGAUAACAUACCGAAAGGUAUGCUAAUACGAGAUAAUAUACUUUUAUCGCAUGGUAGAAGUAUCAAAGCUCCGGCGGUACAGGAUGGACCCGCGUCUGAUUAGCUAGUUGGUAAGGUAACGGCUUACCAAGGCGACGAUCAGUAGCCGACCUGAGAGGGGGAUUGGCCACAUUGGAACUGAGACACGGGCCAAACUCCUACGGGAGGCAGCCGUGGGGAAGAUUGCACAAUGGGCGAAAGCCUGAUGCAGCAACGCCGCGUGAGCGAUGAAGGCCUUCGGGUCGUAAAGCUCUGUCCUCAAGGAAGAUAAUGACGGUACUUGAGGAGGGAGCCCCGGCUAACUACGUGCCAGCCGCCGCCGUAACAC